rnacentral:rRNA from 1 species
UGCGUAGGCGGGGCAAUUAGUCAGUGGUGAAAUCCUGCGGCUUAACCGUAGAACUGCCAUUGAUACUGUUGCCCUUGAGUAUAGUUGAGGUGGGCGGAAUGUGUAAUGUAGCGGUGAAAUGCAUAGAGAUUACACAGAACACCAAUUGCGAAGGCAGCUCACUAAACUAUAACUGACGCUCAGGCACGAAAGCGUGGGUAGCGAACAGGAUUAGAUACCCUGGUAGUCC